rnacentral:piRNA from 1 species
UGGGAUGUUUUGCUUCAUCCUUAGCAGUG